ACGUAUGUCGCAAGCGUUAUCCGGAUUUAUUGGGCGUAAAGCGCGUCUAGGCGGUUUGGUAAGUCUGAUGUGAAAAUGCGGGGCUCAACUCCGUAUUGCGUUGGAAACUGCCAAACUAGAGUACUGGAGAGGUGGGCGGAACUACAAGUGUAGAGGUGAAAUUCGUAGAUAUUUGUAGGAAUGCCGAUGGGGAAGCCAGCCCACUGGACAGAUACUGACGCUAAAGCGCGAAAGCGUGGGUAGCAAACAGGAUUAGAUACCCUGGUAGUCCACGCCGUAAACGAUGAUUACUAGGUGUUGGGGGUCGAACCUCAGCGCCCAAGCUAACGCGAUAAGUAAUCCGCCUGGGGAGUACGUACGCAAGUAUG
rnacentral:rRNA from 1 species